rnacentral:rRNA from 1 species
GACGAACGCUGGCGGCGCGCCUAACACAUGCAAGUCGAACGAGCGAGAGGAGGUUUACUUUCUUGAGCGAGUGGCGAACGGGUGAGUAACGCGUGAGGAACCUGCCUCAAAGAGGGGGACAACAGUUGGAAACGACUGCUAAUACCGCAUAAGCCCACGACCCGGCAUCGGGUAGAGGGAAAAGGAGCAAUCCGCUUUGAGAUGGCCUCGCGUCCGAUUAGCUAGUUGGUGAGGUAACGGCCCACCAAGGCGACGAUCGGUAGCCGGACUGAGAGGUUGAACGGCCACAUUGGGACUGAGACACGGCCCAGACUCCUACGGGAGGCAGCAGUGGGGAAUAUUGCACAAUGGGGGAAACCCUGAUGCAGCGACGCCGCGUGGAGGAAGAAGGUCUUCGGAUUGUAAACUCC